rnacentral:lncRNA from 1 species
UCCCUGUUACUCGCCUUUAGAUAUUUAUGAUAAUGUCUGUUUACUCAUUGGGAUUGCAAAAUCUCACCCACCUCCUUUCUAAACAUUUCAGGUCUGUGGUAGCUUGUAGAUACCCUAUUUUGUCGAGGAUUCCAGUUGACAUCUCUACCACACAAACAAUAGGUUUCUAGCACCAACACUGGGUGUAUUUUGGGUCACUUGUCAUUGUAACCAUUAUUGUACAUUAUAACUUUGUAAAUUUUGGUAUGUGUGAAUUUAUUUUACUUACACGUUACAAAAG